GUAAUAUAUAUAGGAGAUUAAUCGUUAUAAUUGCUAGAUUAUGAUGAUAAAAACAUAAUCACGAAAUAUAACGGGAAUUUUGAGAAAUACUGCAAUAAAAACUUGAACAUGACAAGAAAAACUUUUAUAUAUAAAAGCGUAUACUACUCACACUAUUCUGUAAAAGUGUUAUGGCUUUUUAAAAGAAAAUAGACAAAUUCUGACAUGUUAAUGAAACUGAAAUCGUAUCCUCAUUCAAUAAAAAUAAAAAAGUUAUAUUUUGAUCUUGUUCGGAAGUUCAUUGUUACUUUUACAAAGAGUGAACAGAUUGACAUAUGACCAUUUUAAAUCUUCUUUCAAUGA